CGAGAAAGCCCGCAAGGGUGAGUAAAGCGGCGCACGGGUGCGUAACACGUGGGUAAUCUGCCCUAGAGUCCGGAAUAACUCGCCGAAAGGCGUGCCAAUGCCGGAUGAGACCACGGGAGCCUCGGCUCCUGCGGGAAAAGGUGGCCUCUGUAUACAAGCUAUCGCUCUAGGAUGAGCCCGCGGCCCAUCAGCUCGUUGGCGGGGUAAUGGCCCACCAAGGCUACGACGGGUAGCUGGUCUGAGAGGACGAUCAGCCACACUGGAACUGAGACACGGUCCAGACUCCUACGGGAGGCAGCAGUGGGGAAUCUUGCGCAAUGGGCGAAAGCCUGACGCAGCAACGCCGCGUGUGUGAUGAAGGUCUUCGGAUCGUAAAGCACUGUCGCGAGGGACG
rnacentral:rRNA from 1 species